ACGCACGCUGGCGGCGUGCUUAACACAUGCAAGUCGAACGGAAAGGCCCUGCUUUUGUGGGGUGCUCGAGUGGCGAACGGGUGAGUAACACGUGAGUAACCUGCCCUUGACUUUGGGAUAACUUCAGGAAACUGGGGCUAAUACCGGAUAGGAGCUCCUGCUGCAUGGUGGGGGUUGGAAAGUUUCGGCGGUUGGGGAUGGACUCGCGGCUUAUCAGCUUGUUGGUGGGGUAGUGGCUUACCAAGGCUUUGACGGGUAGCCGGCCUGAGAGGGUGACCGGCCACAUUGGGACUGAGAUACGGCCCAGACUCCUACGGGAGGCAGCAGCGGGGAAUAUUGCACAAUGGGCGGAAGCCUGAUGCAGCAACGCCGCGUGCGGGAUGACGGCCUUCGGGUUGUAAACCGCUUUCGCCUGUGACGAAGCGUGAGUGACGGUAAUGGGUAAAGAAGCACCGGCUAACUACGUG
rnacentral:rRNA from 1 species